CCGGGUGUAGCGCAAUUGGUUAGCGCGCAUGGUUUGGGACCAUGAGGCUGUGGGUUCGAGCCCUACCACUCGGGCCA
rnacentral:tRNA from 1 species